rnacentral:rRNA from 2 species
GUAAACGGCGGCCGUAACUAUAACGGUCCUAAGGUAGCGAAAUUCCUUGUCGGGUAAGUUCCGACCUGCACGAAUGGCGUAACGAUGGCCACACUGUCUCCACCCGAGACUCAGUGAAAUUGAAAUCGCUGUGAAGAUGCAGUGUACCCGCGGCUAGACGGAAAGACCCCGUGAACCUUUACUAUAGUUUUGCACUGGACUUUGAUGAUGACUGUGUAGGAUAGGUGGGAGGCUGUGAAGUGAGGACGCUAGUUCUCAUGGAGCCGCCCUUGAAAUACCACCCUGUUGUUAUUGAGGUUCUAACUUGGUCCAGUAAUCCUGGAUGAGGACAGUGUAUGAUGGGUAGUUUGACUGGGGCGGUCUCCUCCCAAAGAGUAACGGAGGAGCACAAAGGUACCCUCGGUACGGUCGGACAUCGUACCAAGAGUGUAAAGGCAAAAGGGUGCUUGACUGCGAGAGUGACGGCUCGAGCAGGAACGAAAGUUGGUCUUAGUGAUCCGGUGGUUCUGAAUGGAAGGGCCAUCGCUCAACGGAUAAAAGGUACUCCGGGGAUAACAGGCUGAUACCGCCCAAGAGUUCAUAUCGACGGCGGUGUUUGGCACCUCGAUGUCGGCUCAUCACAUCCUGGGGCUGAAGCAGGUCCCAAGGGUAUGGCUGUUCGCCAUUUAAAGUGGUACGCGAGCUGGGUUUAGAACGUCGUGAGACAGUUCGGUCCCUAUCUGCCGUGGGCGUAGGAAAAUUGAGAGGAGCUGCUCCUAGUACGAGAGGACCGGAGUGGACGAACCUCUGGUGCACCGGUUGUCACGCCAGUGGCAUGGCCGGGUAGCUAAGUUCGGACGGGAUAACCGCUGAAAGCAUCUAAGCGGGAAGCCUCCCUCAAGAUGAGUUUUCCCAUGAAGCCCGUUGAAGACUACGACGUUGAUAGGCAAGGUGUGGAAGCGCAGUAAUGCGUGAAGCUAACUUGUACUAAUUGGCUGAUUGUCUUGACCAUAUAAUCUGAG